rnacentral:rRNA from 1 species
AAUGAACGCUGGCGGCGUGCCUAACACAUGCAAGUCGAACGAGAAAUUCCCUGCUUGCAGGGGAGAGUAAAGUGGCGCACGGGUGAGUAACGCGUGAGUAACCUGCCCCUGAAUCUGGAAUAACUCGCCGAAAGGCGCGCUAAUACCGGAUAUUGUCCCAGGGACCGUGGUCCUUGUGAUGAAAGAUGACCUCUUCACGAAAGUUGUCGUUCAGGGAGGGGCCCGCGUACCAUUAGCUAGUUGGUAGGGUAAUGGCCUACCAAGGCGAUGAUGGUUAGCUGGUCUGAGAGGAUGACCAGCCACACUGGCACUGAAACACGGGCCAGACUCCUACGGGAGGCUG